rnacentral:rRNA from 1 species
AACGAACGCUGGCGGCGUGCCUAAUACAUGCAAGUCGAACGCAGUGGGGACGGGUGCGUAACACGUGGGUAACCUCCCAUCAGAGGGGAUAACAGUUGGAAACAGGUGCUAAACCGCUACUGAUGGAUGGACCCGCGGUGCAUUAGCCUGUUGGGGAGGUAACGGCUUACAAAGGCCACGAGGCAGAGCUGACCUGAGAGGAUGACCAGCCACACUGUGACUGAGACACGGUCCAGACUCCGACGGGAGGCAGCAGUAGGGAAUCUUGGGCAAUGGACGAAAGUCUGAUCGAGCAACGCCGCGUGAGUGAAGAAGGUCUUCGGAUCGUAAAGCUCUGUUGUUAGAGAGGCGGUAUCUAACCAGAAAGCAACGGCUAACUACGUGCCAGCAGCCGCGGUAAUAC